rnacentral:rRNA from 1 species
UAGGGAAUCUUCGGCAAUGGACGAAAGUCUGACCGAGCAACGCCGCGUGAGUGAAGAAGGUUUUCGGAUCGUAAAACUCUGUUGUUAGAGAAGAACAAGGACGUUAGUAACUGAACGUCCCCUGACGGUAUCUAACCAGAAAGCCACGGCUAACUACGUGCCAGCAGCCGCGGUAAUACGUAGGUGGCAAGCGUUGUCCGGAUUUAUUGGGCGUAAAGCGAGCGCAGGCGGUUUCUUAAGUCUGAUGUGAAAGCCCCCGGCUCAACCGGGGAGGGUCAUUGGAAACUGGGAGACUUGAGUGCAGAAGAGGAGAGUGGAAUUCCAUGUGUAGCGGUGAAAUGCGUAGAUAUAUGGAGGAACACCAGUGGCGAAGCGGCUCUCUGGUCUGUAACUGACGCUGAGGCUCGAAAGCGUGGGGAGCAAACAGG